rnacentral:rRNA from 1 species
GACGAACGCUGUCGGCGUGCUUAACACAUGCAAGUCGAACGGAAAGGCCCUGCUUUUGUGGGGUGCUCGAGUGGCGAACGGGUGAGUAACACGUGAGUAACCUGCCCUUGACUUUGGGAUAACUUCAGGAAACUGGGGCUAAUACCGGAUAGGAGCUCCUGCUGCAUGGUGGGGGUUGGAAAGUUUCGGCGGUUGGGGAUGGACUCGCGGCUUAUCAGCUUGUUGGUGGGGUAGUGGCUUACCAAGGCUUUGACGGGUAGCCGGCCUGAGAGGGUGACCGGCCACAUUGGGACUGAGAUACGGCCCAGACUCCUACGGGAGGCAGCAGUGGGGAAUAUUGCACAAUGGGCGGAAGCCUGAUGCAGCAACGCCGCGUGCGGGAUGACGGCCUUCGGGUUGUAAACCGCUUUCGCCUGUGACGAAGCGUGAGUGACGGUAAUGGGUAAAGAAGCACCGGCUAACUACGUGCCAGCAGCCGCGGUGAUACGUAGGGUGCGAGCGUUGUCCGGAUUUAUUGGGCGUAAAGGGCUCGUAGGUGGUUGAUCGCGUCGGAAGUGUAAUCUUGGGGCUUAACCCUGAGCGUGCUUUCGAUACGGGUUGACUUGAGGAAGGUAGGGGAGAAUGGAAUUCCUGGUGGAGCGGUGGAAUGCGCAGAUAUCAGGAGGAACACCAGUGGCGAAGGCGGUUCUCUGGGCCUUUCCUGACGCUGAGGAGCGAAAGCGUGGGGAGCGAACAGGCUUAGAUACCCUGGUAGUCCACGCUGUAAACGGUGGGUACUAGGUGUGGGGUCCAUUCCACGGGUUCCGUGCCGUAGCUAACGCUUUAAGUACCCCGCCUGGGGAGUACGGCCGCAAGGCUAAAACUCAAAGGAAUUGACGGGGCCCCGCACAAGCGGCGGAGCAUGCGGAUUAAUUCGAUGCAACGCGUAGAACCUUACCUGGGUUUGACAUGGAUCGGGAGUGCUCAGAGAUGGGUGUGCCUCUUUUGGGGUCGGUUCACAGGUGGUGCAUGGCUGUCGUCAGCUCGUGUCGUGAGAUGUUGGGUUAAGUCCCGCAACGAGCGCAACCCUUGUUCACUGUUGCCAGCACGUUAUGGUGGGGACUCAGUGGAGACCGCCGGGGUCAACUCGGAGGAAGGUGGGGAUGACGUCAAGUCAUCAUGCCCCUUAUGUCCAGGGCUUCACGCAUGCUACAAUGGCUGGUACAGAGAGUGGCGAGCCUGUGAGGGUGAGCGAAUCUCGGAAAGUCGGUCUCAGUUCGGAUUGGGGUCUGCAACUCGACCUCAUGAAGUCGGAGUCGCUAGUAAUCGCAGAUCAGCAACGCUGCGGUGAAUACGUUCCCGGGGCU